UGCAUCUGCAGCCCAUGAGGAUGAGAACCUCCGGGGGCAGGGAGGUUCGACUCGAGCGAAGCGAGAGAACGUUGCGCCAGCAACGGCCCGCAGGGCGAGCCACGA
rnacentral:sRNA from 1 species